CUCUUUGCUCGGUGUCCGAAUGGGACUUGCGGGUACUGGUGGCUGACUCCCUCCUUCCGUCCUUCCCCCAGGGAGGGGGAAGCCAGGCCCAGCUCCCCCGGCCCGGGGUUACCGACUCUUUCCCCAUCAGGUGGAUCUGGCGCGGCCCCUCGCCAUCCUUAAAAGGAGCAGCACGCGGACGCUUUCCGCCGCGGCCCGGAGGGAGGCCUGUGGGGACGACUCUGCCGGCGGGCUGCGGGCGCGGCUCCGGGCAUGCGCGGCGGCUGUGUCCUCCUCCCCGCGGGUUCCGUCCUCCCGCCGCGGCAUUCGGGCUCCCGGAGCACCGGGGACUGAUCCCGGAGAAAUGACAUCUUCAGGGAGAAGACUUUGAAGAAAUGCCUGAUGUGACAGUAGAAAUAUUUUCUUCCGGUAUCUCAUCUAAAAUGAAGUUAAAAUGUUGAAUUUCCAGGUACAUGCCUACUUAGAGGCAGAGCCAAGAUUCUACGUCAAGAUCACAAAGCUUGUCUUCUUCUGUACCACACUAUCUUGAAGAAUUGUAAAACACACAUUUCUUUUAAAUCAGCGAUUCUUUAAGUUUUUAAAUACGGUCAUAGCAAAUAAACGUUUAUAAAUUAAACGUUUGUUUCUACACUAAGCAAUUCCCCCAAUUCUACAAUAUAAAAAGGUUAUAACUGAAGUCUUCACUUUUAUAUUAACUUGAAGUUUAGCCAAUUUAGGAAAUUACUAAACCACCUAAUUAUAGAUAUAUUAUAGAAAUCUAUUCUUUGUAACAUCUGGCUUGUUCAUCUUGUAAUCAUUGCCCCACAAAAUACACAUUCCAAGGCUGAGGAAACUGAGGUAAUUAAAACUGCUUUCCCAACUCAUGUUACUGCUCCUCACAAUAUAUAGUCAACCUGUUUACAGAAUAUGAACUUUAUCUUUGGUGUUCAAUUUAACAUGCUCAAACAUAAACCAUUUUAAAAAGUUAUGUAGUGAAAUAAAAACAAUUCUCAUUAUUUCAAGUAUAUAAAGACUCCUCUAUUAUUUCUAGAAUAUAAAAUGGAAAUAACUCCUACAUGCUUACAUUGUGCUUUUGUUCAAUAUUCCUACUCCAAUACAACUGCCGUGUAAAAGGUUAUUUCCCUGAUUUUCCUCUGUACAUUAUCACCAUUACUGCUCAAAGUUCAACAUCUAGAAAGCCAGAAGGCCACAGAGAUAACACUUUGGGCUAGAGUUGAAGAAAAAUGAAAUAGAAUACCCCACCAGAGAGUAAUGCAGUCAGAAUCAGGUAAGUAAUAGAAGUGCAUUUCAUUUCACUACCAACAAACAAUUCAACUGAAUAGGCUCAUUAAAGAGCUGAGCAUGGCUGCCCUAUUCUGCCCAGUAUUCUUCCAUGAGGCCUGUAAACAAAAAAACCAUCUAGUUCUAGAUUUGUACUGUUAACUUCUCUAUCCAUAAAAAGUUGUGUGUCAGCGAUGAAAAAUUACCUGGUCGUAAUUUACGACGAGUGGGGGAAGCCUGUUCGCAGGAAUCAGUUUUGACUUAAGGGGGUGAAAAAAAAAAAACCACAACUUCUUGAAAAGGUAAAAUAGCUUAAAGCAUUUAAUUUCUAAACAAAUCAAUCUGUUAAUAGUAGUAGUCACAAAAUAGGCUUAAUAUAGAAACCCACAUUUAUGUCCUUAAGAAAAAGUGUAAAUUGUAUUUUACCUCAAAACAUAAAUUAACCCACUUAAAGAAUCUGCAGCAGUCAAAAUCACGGUGAAUUUUAAAACAACUUCAGAAUAAAAUUACCUUAAGUACUUUAUACUGCUUUAUAUCUAAAAAAUGCUUACAACUUCUCAUAAAAAUAGUCUGAGGCAACUAUUUUUUCUUUUAUUCUUUAACAGACAAGUUCAACAUUAUGGGCAACAUUCUUUAAACCUUAAGCUUCACAGACUUUCAGACAUUCAAAUACCAUGGUCCCCUUUUCUUUAAUGUGAAGGUUUAUUCAGCUAGGAAAGAAAAAGCAUGGUAGACAACUGAAUACAUUUUCACCAAAUUGAAAGUAGUACAAAAGUUUUAAGACUCUACAGAACUACACAUCGUACCUAAUGUAUCAUUAAAAACAGAUGACAGUAUUUCCUUCAGCAAAUAAAAUGGCAUACUGGUAUGCUGUUAAUGCAUACACCAUUUAACCUGUACUGUCAUUCACAAAUUAUUUACAACUUUCGCUGUGUGAAAAGAACUAGAAUGUAAAUUUUCUGCAAAACUGGAAAAAAGCAAUACAAAAUUUGUGAAAGCCUGUGUUUUGUAUUAUACAAAAGUAAGCCAGUUUUUUCUCUUCAAAUACCAGAUACUGAAUGCAGUGAUAUGCUGGACAGUUUACAGUAAUUCUUGAGGAUGUUUUAAUGCUGGAGGUAAGUUUACAGGCCUUGACUCUUCGUCGAGGAGUACUAGGUCUUCUAUUUCACUGCCUCUGUAUUUCCUUUUACAGAUUUUUACCACCACCUUUUUCUUGAGAAAUAACUUCAAUGCUUCUCUUGAUGCAACUGCUUUUGCGUUUUCUUUGCUUUUUCCACAGCCAGUGCCCAAAUACACAGACUUACACCUCAAUUCACAAACAAUACUUUCUUGAGAGCUUUUAUUUUGAGGCAGAUCUGCCAGUUCUUUCAGUGGGACAAAAAACACAUCCAGUGUUGCUUUCAGGGCCUCAAUAGCUGCAUUUAGGAGCUCUCCAUGAUUCACACUGGGACUAAAGCCACCAACGGCCACCAACUUCCACGCCACCGUUUUAUACAGUCUAUUGAAAAAAGGUUGCUUCUGUUUCACAUCUUCAUUGGUUAACUUGCAGCAAGAGAAUUUGACAGAACUCUCACUUGACUGUGUAGCACUUUUAGAAGGCAACUGUGACGUGCUAGUCUGAGAACUACUCUUAGAAGCCAGCUGGGACACACCUGCUGUGGAAGUGCUCUUAGAAAUGAGAGCGCCACUGGUCUGGGAGCUGCUCUUGGAAGCUAACAGCGAUGCAGCGACCUGCGAAGUGCUUUUGGAAGUCAGCAUCGAUGUGUUUGUUGAGGUGCUGCUCUUGGGAGUUAGUAAAGAUGUGCCUGAUGAGGAACUGUUUUUAGAAACCGAUGAUGAAACACUUGCCUCUGAACUAGUUUUGGAAGUUAACCCACUUGAAGCUGUCUCUGAACUAGGUUUGGAAGACAACAGUGGCAGCUCUACUUCUGAGCUUCCUGAGGAGCCCAACAAGGGCACCUCGAUCUCUGAGAUGCUCUGAGAAACUAAGACUGAAGGGCCUUCCAAAGCACUCUUUUUCGGUGAGCCACUCUGUUGUCUGGAAUCAGUGGACUGGGUCACGUGACUAUUCACACUGGACUUCAACAAUGAAGAAACAAACGACGCUGAACCAUGUUUAUCUGGAGCUUCCGAUUCAGCUUUUCCGGGACCUACCGUUGUUACCUGAGAGGAAGUGCUGCUGCUGCUUUGGCUGGAAACAGAUCGGUCUCCAUCACUUGUGGAGCUAUUCUGACUCGGGGUGCCAGAGCUCCGACUCGAGUUCCCACCACUCUCUGACUUGGUAGAUGACCCCGAACCCGCUGAGCUGUUUUCCUGCUGAGAUGAUGUGCGGUCUGUUUUGGCAGGAAUUUUUGCAUGAUCUUGCUCAACUGCAGAAUUGCCUUUUCCUUCUAUGGCUCGUUUUUUCGUUGGUUCUUCUACCCCUUCUGAAAAGAAAGAAAACAGAGCGCUGUCAGCUCAACGCCAGCAGCUCCCCACCCGACCGGGGCACCUCCAGACGGCUAAUCAUGUCGGCUUCGGGCAGAGACGCCCUUCUCGCCCUUAGAGGGCAGCCGGGCCCGCGGAUUCCCGCGCUUCGCCACUUCCCUUCCAGACCGAGGGCUCCGGGCCCCAGUCCAGGGCGGAAGACAAAACGGGGAGAGCUGCUCGGGGACGCCGGCUCACUCACCGGCA